GUGCUCACUUUGGCAGCACAUAUACUAAAAUUGGAACGAUAUAGAGAAGAUUAGCACGGCCCCUGCGCAAGGAUGACACGCAAAUUCGUGAAGCGUUCUAUAUUUUU
rnacentral:snRNA from 1 species